GCCCCUGUAGCUCAAGCGGAUCAGAGCGUCGCCAUCCGGCGGCGAAGGCUGGCGGUUCGAGUCCGUCCAGGGGCACC
rnacentral:tRNA from 2 species